AUGGCUACGGGAGCCGGGACGGCGGCGGCGGCGGCCAAGAACCCUACAAAAACCCUCGCCACUCUCCUCCUCCUCGUCCUCUUGCUCGCCGACCUCCCGCUCUGCGCCUCCCAGCCGCCGCUGCACUCCCAGCCCCUGCCCGCCACGCAGUCCCCGGCCGCGCCCCUCCCGCCGCCGCAGCCCAGGGGCCCCCGCGCGCAGGCCGGCGGCGCGGCCCGCCUCCGCCGCAUCGCGCUCGGCGUGCUCCUCGGCUCGCUCGCCGGCUUCAUCCUCUCGCUCGCCUUCCUCUACGCCAUCCGCGUCGCCGUGCUCCACGCCGGGAACGCGCCGGCCGUCGCCAGGGGGCCCGUCUCCUUCACCCCGCAAAUCUCGCCCAAGAGCCUCCAGUGCGCGCUCCCCUCCGCGCGCCCGCUUGCACGCGGGCCCCGCGGGACGUACCACAAGCUCGACCUCGACGGCGACCUCACCGUCGCCGUCAAGGUGCUCGACCUCGCCGCCGCCGCCGGCGCCUCACCCUCACCCUCGCCGUCGCCCUCGCGGCCGGCGAGCGGCUCCAAGUCCGACAUGCGGAGGGUGCAGCGGCAGCUGGAGCUGCUCGCCCGGGUGAGGCACCUCAACGUGAUGAGCCUCAAGGCCUACGUCCGCGACGCCGACCGGCUCUCGCUCGUCUACGACUUCGUCCCGGGGGGCAGCCUCGAGGACGUGAUGAAGAGGGUGAGGUCGCAGCAGGUCAGCCUCAGCUGGGACACCAGGAACAGGAUUGCGGCCGGGGUGGCCAAGGGACUGCGCCACCUGCACUUCGAGUGCAACCCCAGGAUACUGCAUUGCAACCUCAAGCCGUCGAAUGUGAUGCUGGAAGAAGGGUUUGAACCGGUGCUGGCGGAUUGCGGCGUUGCGAGGCUGCUCGAUUCGGGUUCGCCUGAUCCGGAGUCGUCCGGCAGCCUCUACGCAGCUCCAGAGUGCUACCAAAGUAGCAGGUACACGGAUAAGUGCGACGUCUAUGCCUUCGGCAUGAUCCUUGGCGUUCUGCUCACCGGGAAAGACCCCGCAGACCCGUUUUUCUCAGGAGAAAGUGGACGGGGCAGCCUGGCUCGAUGGCUCCGUCACAUGCAGCAUUCCGGCGACACGAAAGAAGCGCUGGACAGCAGCAUCGUAGGGGAGGAGGUCGACGAGGAGGAGAUGGUGAUGGCCGUCAGGGUCGCCAUCGUGUGCCUCUCGGAGCUGCCCGCCGAUCGGCCAUCCAGCGAUGAACUCGUCGCGAUGCUUGCCCAGCUCCACAGCUUCUAG
rnacentral:rRNA from 1 species